GUCCAAUCCUUGUGUACCGAAGGCGAAAUCGAAGAUAGUCGGUGUUCGAGAGCGUCUUGCAACUUUCCGUAUGAAAAGAAAGACGGAUUGUUUCAAUGAUUUCACUAGCAGGAGUUGACGCCUAUUUCGUGUCCAACCCUUGUGUACCGAAGGCGAAAUCGAAGAUAGUCGGUGUUCGAGAGCGUCUUGCAACUUUUCGUAUGAAAGGAAAGACGGAUUGUUUCAAUGAUUUCACUAACAGGAGUUGACACCUAUUUCGUGUCCAACCCUUGUGUACCGAAGGCGACAUCGAAGUUGGUCGGUGUUCGAGAGCGUCUUGCAACUUUUCGUAUGAAAGGAUAGUUUCAAGAAACCAUUUGGAAUGCAUUCUUAAAGGCGAUGAACACACCUCCCAAACAUCUUUUGGAUUACCAUACUAACAUUUAAUGGUGAUAUACUGAUUGCUGUUUCCAUUCGUGGCGUUGAACAAAACAACGUAUCCUAGUCAUACCGUUGUGUGGAUAUGAAAAUCAUUCGCCCGAGAAGAAAAUAUGGGCAAGUUACCCAAACUACACGCGGAUAUGAGUUUGUGAAAAAACAACUUGUUUAUUCACAGCUUAUUUCCCGACCUUAUCUACCAUGGUGCUAUUUCUUGUGGAUAUAUAUGUAAGUAGCACAAA